rnacentral:rRNA from 1 species
AUUGAACGCUGGCGGCAUGCUUUACACAUGCAAGUCGAACGGUAACAGGGAGCUUGCUCCGCUGACGAGUGGCGAACGGGUGAGUAAUGCGUCGGAACGUGCCGAGUAGUGGGGGAUAACGCAGCGAAAGUUGUGCUAAUACCGCAUACGUACUGAGGUAGAAAGUGGGGGACCUUCGGGCCUCACGCUAUUCGAGCGGCCGACGUCUGAUUAGCUAGUUGGUGAGGUAAGGGCUCACCAAGGCGACGGUCAGUAGCGGGUCUGAGAGGAUGAUCCGCCCCGCUGGGACUGAGACACGGCCCAGACUCCUACGGGAGGCAGCAGUGGGGAAUUUUGGACAAUGGGCGCAAGCCUGAUCCAGCCAUGCCGCGUGUCUGAAGAAGGCCUUCGGGUUGUAAAGGACUUUUGUCCGGGAGCAAAUGCUGGUGGCUAACAUCCACCGGAGCUGAGAGUACCGGAAGAAUAAGCACCGGCUAACUACGUGCCAGCAGCAGCCGCCGUAA